AAGUAAGUGUCUAUAAUGUAUAAUGUAUAAUUUAUGAAAUCAACAACAAAAAUAUAUCAUGCAUGUUUAUUUAUCAGAGCAUCGAAUUGAUAAAUAUUUACUGACGUUUACAGUACUGUAUAAAAUCUACAAUCUAAGUAUGCUUUGAAAUAUGGAAGAAUAACUUAAUCGGCAACAUACAUCGGUGCCUUUUUAUAGAAUAAAUUUACGUUGUUUUGAUCUUAAUUAAAUCAGUCUAUUGUAGGUUUACCAAUUAUCGAUCUCUGUUUUAUAGGCAGAUCAAAAUUAAGGUUAAUUUAAGAAUAAUCUAAUCAGUCGCAAGUUAAAUUAAUACUCUCUUUCAUAAUUCAUUUACAAUAUGUUUCUAUAAUUCAUUUAGAACAUGUAAGCAAUAAAAUAAUAUAUGUCCAAAAUAUGCUACGUCAUCAUGGAAUAAAAACGUUUUUUAGAUUUAAUAUUGUCUUUUAUUGAUUAAUUACCACAUUAAAUUAUUACUGAGAGUAUAGCUCAGUGGAUUAUGCUGUGGCCUCACACUCAAACAAAUCGGGUUCGUAUCCUGACUGAAGCCAAUUUUUUUUAUCCGUUUUUUAUUCAUUUUUUGUCAUUCAUAGGAUCUGAAAUCCCUGUGCUCGUAUUAUUUUUGGGAGAACACUUAUCAAGUCACAAAACAGAUAUUUCGAGAGAUACUGACUGUGAUUACUCAGAAGUGGAAAAAUGUGACACUAGCAACGACGGCACUGCGGGACCACGUACUUCUCGCACAAAAGACAUGUGCGGUGUUAAGUUGAUGCGGGAUUCGCACAUCUAAAGGCAUGAUUUAGAAACACUUCAACAGCUGGCCGAUGUUACAGAGAAGUCAUCUACAACAAACAGCCGGUAUGUUACCCCAAGCGGUCAUGGCGGCAAUGGAAACCCGUUCUUGAGGGAUUUUUCAAACCAAUUAUUGGUAAAAGAUAGAAAAUUCCUGCACUUCCGGUUCCAGUCGAACACACCGGGUGUGGUUAUGGCAAAAGCAACACCUGAAGGCGAGGGAUAUUACAUUCAAGUCUUGAAAGAACGCGGAUUCCGGUUCGGUUCAUGUGUCCGUCCAAGCGUUAUAACGCCCGUAGGAAUGCCAGCAGUGUCGCGAAGUGUGCGUGCGUUCGUCAGUCAAGACAGUUAAUCAUAUUAUCAGUGCAAUGUUACAACAGCUUAGUGCAGAAUUAAAUAUCAAGAACUGUUGUUGUUUGUUGUUAAAACACGGCCAUUGUUUCUGUUAUAAAGAAAAAUAGAACUUAUUAUUUAACUGUCUAUGUUUUUUAUAAGUAUUAAACGUUAAACGUAGACUUAUAUACUGUUGUUGAUUUAUUACUUUGGGUAUAUACCUAAAAAAUUGUCUGAUUUCAAUCUAUGCGACCCGUGCAUACUAAAACCCACCAACACACCUGUGUCUUCUGACCGUGGUCUGCAAUAUUUGUUUUUCAAGCAGUAUAUAGUCUGAAAAUUUCCUUUUUUACAGCUUAAACAUACUAAUGGAGUGAAGUUAAGAUUAAAAUAUAAUUGCCGUUUUAAAUUUUCCAAUUAACAACAUUAAACGUCAAUUUAAUUUUUCGACGUCAUUUAUUUACAAAGUGAUCAAAUAUAUGACGUUCUUUAAAUAAGUAUAUCUCAAUAACUAACCCUUUGAUUUUAAAACAGUUUUCACCGUCAUAUUCAGAAAGAUAUUCUCUACAAAAAUAAUUGAAAAACCAAAUUUCGAAAAAAAUGUCAUUAAGACCGGUUUUCUCGCGUCGCGCCUCAUA